UGCAAAUCUUGUAAACGAAGAGUGCCCUGUAGAGCACCUAAUGUUUCUUCGUUUUGAUUAUCUGUUAAGGUGUCUUCACUGGUUAGAACACCUAAAGAUCCGGUACAGAGACCAGAAGAAAUAUUAUGGCUCACCUGUGCCAAGGGUGUACGGCGAUUCGGAGGUGUUCACCGUGUGGUGAUUCUGCAGAAACUCCAUCUCUGCGAAAUUUCUGCUCGUAACCGCCCUUAGAGACAACCCCUUUCCCCGCCUCGAUAAAAUACGCGGACGGAUUGCCUCCUCUCUGUAGAGAUGUGGUCCAGCCCCUCUGGUCUCCCUAGCAACCGCACAUUGCUCCAACUUGAAUGUUAAACAAGAUUUGGAAAAUUAUAGUCUAAUUUUGAAGCACAAAGAAGACAUAAUCACACUUUGCACAUUUUCUCUGUCAUUAAACACACUUGGGUCAUUAAGAAGAAUUUAAAGAAAACAGAUUAAAUCACUAAUGUAAGUUAACUUCAAUCACACUAAAUUUUAAUUUUUAACUUGAACUAAGAUAUUCUUGAAAUUUCUCCAACUUAGGUCAAUCUUGAGGCAAGAAAAGGAAAUUUUAAGGGAUGGCACUGCCGUAUGCUACUGUCAUGCUGGCGCGAUGGCUUGUCAAUGUGUCUUAGCUAACUAGAGAUCUACCACCUACUAUCACCCACUCUCACCCCUUACUCACUGACUACUGCUUCGACCCCACUCCACUACGGGCCGGCCUUUUCGUCGCUCUCUUUUUUCCUUCAUCGUAUUUGCCUUGUUCCACGCACAUAUCAUCAUCCUCCUCUUCCACAUGUGCUUACCCCUACCUUAAAUAACGUUAACCUUCCAUGCUUCCACCGUAAGGUGUUUGCUAAAGAGAUUUGCAAGAUUUUCAAUUUUGCUUAAAGUUGAAUAUGAAUGCAACGAUUUGCAUUCGGUUAUUUUGAGUGGCAUGGAAUAAUAUCGGAAUUGGUUAAAAUUAAUCUGAUCAGAGUGAUUUAAUAGAGAUUUAGAAAAGCGAUGAUAAUACAAAUUUUACAUUGUAAAUGUUGCUAUAUGUAGAUCAGUGAAUAAAUAAGUUAGCCUUUUUUCUAACUUUAUAUAAUA